UUUCUGCCACCGAAUACAUUAGCAUGGGAUAAUGGAAUAGGACCCUGUCCUCCUAUUUUCAGUUGGUUUUGGCAGCGCGAGGACUAGGGUAAUGAUUAAUAGGGAUAGUUGGGGGCAUUAAUAUUUAAUUGUCAGAGGUGAAAUUCUUGGAUUUAUGAAAGAUUAACUUCUGCGAAAGCAUCUGCCAAGGAUGUUUUCAUUAAUCAAGAACGAAAGUUAGGGGAUCGAAGACGAUCAGAUACCGUCGUAGUCUUAACCAUAAACGAUGCCGACCAGCGAUUAGGAGACGUUGAAUACAAAACACCACCAUCGGCGCGGUCGUCCUUGGCGUCGGUCCUUCACGGGGCCGGCGCGAGGGCGGCUUAGCCCGGUGGCACCGGUGAAUGACUCCCCUAGCAGCUUGAGA
rnacentral:rRNA from 1 species